GCGGGUGUAGCUCAGUUGGUUAGAGCGCCGGCCUGUCACGCCGGAGGUCACGGGUUCGAGCCCCGUCACUCGCGCCA
rnacentral:tRNA from 13 species